AAAGAACUGUAAUUCCUUGCAGUAUCUCUCCUGUAAAUGAGACAUACACAAAUUUCUCUUGGCACACAGGUGGAGAAACGGAUUUUUCUGAGGAUGUUGGAAAGGGUUGCAGAAGAAAAGUUUAAGGAUGAGUUGAUUUCCCAGGAUAAGAAAACCUGAGUUGCUCCCUGGAACAUUAUUUCAUGAUUUAUGGUAAGUUUUGGACUCCUAGUACAUUGUUACCUUCCAUCUCGAAAUCAAAACAAAGGAGAUAAGA
rnacentral:lncRNA from 1 species